GGCGGGAUGGCCGAGUGGUCCAAGGCGGAGGAUCUAAGUCAUGUAUUUCUCUGAUGAAUUUGCUUGAACUCCUCUUCUUGAGAGAGAGCGUGGGUUCGAACCCCACUUCCGUCA